rnacentral:rRNA from 1 species
UAGGGAAUCUUCCACAAUGGACGCAAGUCUGAUGGAGCAACGCCGCGUGAGUGAAGAAGGCUUUCGGGUCGUAAAACUCUGUUAUUGAAGAAGAACGUGUGUGACAGUAACUGGUCAUGCAGUGACGGUAUUCAAUCAGAAAGUCACGGCUAACUACGUGCCAGCAGCCGCGGUAAUACGUAGGUGGCAAGCGUUGUCCGGAUUUAUUGGGCGUAAAGCGAGUGCAGGCGGUCUUUUAAGUCUGAUGUGAAAGCCUUCGGCUUAACCGAAGAAGGGCAUCGGAAACUGGGAGACUUGAGUGCAGAAGAGGAGAGUGGAACUCCAUGUGUAGCGGUGAAAAUGCGUAGAUAUAUGGAAGAACACCAGUGGCGAAGGCGGCUCUCUGGUCUGUAACUGACGCUGAGGCUCGAAAAGCGUGGGUAGCAAACAGGAUUAGAUACCCUGGUAGUCCACGCCGUAAAACGAUGAAUACUAAGUGUUGGAGG